rnacentral:rRNA from 1 species
GACAGAGGGGGCAAGCGUUGCUCGGAAUCACUGGGCGUAAAGGGCGCGUAGGCGGGAUGGCAAGUCGGUCGUGAAAUCCUUCGGCCCAACCGAAGAACGUCGGCCGAUACUGCCGUUCUUGAGGGAUGCAGAGGAGACUGGAAUUCCCGGUGUAGCGGUGAAAUGUGUAGAGAUCGGGAGGAACACCGGUGGCGAAGGCGGGUCUCUGGGCAUUUCCUGACGCUGAGGCGCGAAAGCGUGGGGAG